CUAAGUUUGAAGGCGACCGGCGCACGGGUGAGUAACACGUAUCCAACCUGCCGAUGACUCGGGGAUAGCCUUUCGAAAGAAAGAUUAAUACCCGAUGGCAUAGUUCUUCCGCAUGGUAGAACUAUUAAAGAAUUUCGGUCAUCGAUGGGGAUGCGUUCCAUUAGGUUGUUGGCGGGGUAACGGCCCACCAAGCCUUCGAUGGAUAGGGGUUCUGAGAGGAAGGUCCCCCACAUUGGAACUGAGACACGGUCCAAACUCCUACGGGAGGCAGCAUG
rnacentral:rRNA from 1 species